rnacentral:rRNA from 1 species
UGUGUUGCCGUUCGAGUGGGCGCGGUAAUGCGGAAGGGGCUAGGGUGGUUCGGAAGUACUGGGCGUAAAGCGCGCGUAGGCGGCCAUGCAAGUGAGGCGUGAAAGGCCGGGGCUCAACCUGGGAACGGCGCUUCAGACUGCACGGCUUGAGUCCGGGAGAGGGGGGUGGAAUUCCCAGUGUAGAGGUGAAAUUCGUAGAUAUUGGGAGGAACACCAGUGGCGAAGGCGGCCACCUGGCCCGGUACUGACGCUCAAGUGCGAAAGCGUGGGGAGCAAACAGGAUUAGAUACCCGAGUAGUC